rnacentral:lncRNA from 1 species
GAUCAAACAAAGUUUUAAUUUUCAUGUAUCAUCUUUAUGAGGAUAAUUUAAGGAUUAACUUUAAAUUUAAACCAAGUGAAGCCUCCAGGACUGCCUCAGGGCCAUAAAGUGCGGGACUUCUGAGAGUUGCUGUUGGAGGAGAGUGGGUGAGUUGUGUUUGGUCUCUUUGCUAAAGAAACCAUAAGAAAUAUGUUUGUUGACUAGUACUAUGGCUGGGACCCUAUAUGUACUGUUGAUGAAGUUAGGUGCUGUUCUGAGCAUUAUUUGUGGCUAUAGAGUGGCUUUUUGGUUGAGGUUUGCACUUGGAGACGUAGACAGCUGUGUAUUGCUCUUGUGUAGUCGUUACUCAAGUUGCUAUUACUAGAGACGCAAGCAGUCAGCAACAUUCAUCUCUCAAAGGGGGUGUCUAACUCAGUGUUACUGUGUGUUUGACAAAAACUUAAUUUUAUGUUGGAUUACCCCUUUAAGCACUGGUAAAACUGAAGUUUUUGUUAUUGCUCAAAAUAGAGACAUUCCAGUAAUAACGAAAAAAUAGGCUUUUCUCCUCUACAGUUCGCUCCAAAGUGUGUAACUAAGGAGUAAUUUUCUAACCACAGUUUGUUUGACAGUCAUUUAAAGCAGCACUCUGGGUCAUGUCUCUACAGUGUAAAAAAUGACUGAGAAAAUGACGCGCAUGCAUCCUGUGGGUUUUAUGCUUGAGAUGCGCAAAAAGGCGUUUAAAUUUGCUUCUCCCUUUUCUUGGCCCCGAAGUAUUAACUGUUAGACAGAAAUUAUCUCAAGGCAUCCAAACAUGCCUUCAAGGCAAGCUGUAAAUUUAAUACUCAUUUAUCUGUUGCUAUUGCUGCGGGCUACAGAGGUGGCAACUGAGGAGAGUCUUCUGUCCUCAAUGUGUACCUAUGCAAGACAGUGAGCAUACUUGAACAGGUUGCUCUUUACGCAGAUGACACAUGUAUGUCAACACCUGAGCAGACGGAGGUGAUUAUGAAUACACAGAGUCAAAUUAUCGUAUCAAUCUUUACCUGUAGGAUUGAUGGCAAGACAAAUGCAGACAAGCUGACAGAUGAACAGGUACAUGCAAAUAUGAAGAAAGGUUAUUUAUAUUUGCUUUACCUUAAAAAAGUACAAACCUAUCAGACACGUUCCAUCAAUGUAAAUCACACACUAACCCAACACUCCACUUGCAUUUACAUAUGUUUUAUUGAAAACAGGGAUGAAUCAUAGGGAAUAUACAUAUUGAUUUAGAUUUAUUUCAUGAGAACAAUGAUUUUUUUUUCCUGUCUAUCUCUCUUUCACUUUUCCCUCCAUCUAUCUCAGUGUUUUUCUGUCAGGAAAAACAAAAAAAGACCACAGCAGCCAUAGCGACAGAGAGCAAAAAAGAAGACCUGGCCCGGGCCUGUCACCUUUGGAGCAUCCUGAUUGGUUGAGGCCCGCUGUGUGAGCUUUGUUGCCGUGUGGACGGCGAGGCAGGCAGUUCUCUGAGCGUUGCUGAGGACGCAGAGCUUUCUCAGCAGUCCUGUCAGGGUGGAUUUACGCCGCAGGCUCAAAGCUGAUUUUUUUUCAUCCCUGUGACACAUUUUAUGGCUGUAGAAGAAGAAACAGGAGAGUUACAUUUCAGGCUGAUGUCACUGACCUAUUGACUGUAUGCAUACAGAGGAAAUGUCAGUGAGCUUCUUUCAAAACAAGGGAGACACCAGACACCCUUUUUUUUUAAAUAAAAAAGCAGCAAAGUGAAGACUAUUGACUUGUUGUCAUGGAAAUGGUUAGAAAGAUAUGAAGGUUAUUUAUCCUGAAGGGGAAAUUCGAUAAAAGUAUGAAGCAUGGAAGUAUGCUGUUUAUGCAUUUUUAUUUUCAGGAAGUUUCUUUUGAGACAGAGAGACCUGAAACAAAUAAUGUUAUGCAUGUCUCAAAAACAGGGUUGAGAAAUAAGAGCUUUAGUUAUGUUUUAGCUGAUGUGAGCUAGCCUCCUAUCAAUCAUUUACAAGAAGUGAAACUGUCACAGCAGCUUACACAACAAUGAGGACAACUAAACAAACAAAAUACCAAGACUUGGGGCUCUUUUCUGCUUACUAAUGGCUGUUUUUAGAGAAACAUGUAAACCACUCAGUUACAGUUCCUUCAAUAAUAACAGCAAAGACAUCC